rnacentral:rRNA from 1 species
CUUUGUUGAUCCUGCUAGUAGUCAUAUGCUUGUCUCAAAGAUUAAGCCAUGCAUGUGUAAGUAAGAACUAAUUUAGACUGUGAAAUUAUGAAUGGGUCAUUAAAUUAGUUAUAGUUUGUUUGAUGGUAUCUACUACUCAGAUAACUAUAGUAAUUCUAUAAAUGAAGCAUGCAACAAACCCCUGCUUCUAGAAAGGAUGCAUUUAUUAGAUAAAAGGUUGAUGCGAGCUUUGCCCUUUGCUCUAAUGAUUCAUUAUAACUCGACGGAUCACACAGCCUUUGUGCCAGUGAUGCAUCAUUCAAAUUUUUGCCCUCUCAACUUUUGAUGGUAGAAUAGUGGCAUACUAUGGUGUGACCGAUAAUAGAGAAUUCGGUUUUGAUUCCAGAGAGGGAACCUGUGAAAAGGCUAACACAUCCAAAGAAGGCUGCAAGCAAAAAAUUACCCAAUCUUGACACAGAGAGGUUGUGAUAAUAAAUAACAAUACUAGGCUUUAUGAGUCUAUUAAUUGAAAUUAAUACAAUCUAAAUACCUUAAUGAGGAUCUUUUAGAAGGUAAGUCUAGUGCUAGCAGCCAUGGUAAUUCUAGCUUUAAUAGCAUAUAUUUAAGUUGUUGCAAUUAAAAAACUCGUAGUUGAAACUAGGGUUGGGUCGCCUAGUCCACCUCACGGUGAGCACCAGUCUACUUAUCCUUAUAACCAAUGAUGCGCUCUUAACCUUAACUAGCCAGGUCAUUCCUCUGGCAAUGCUACUUUGAAGAAAUUAGAGUGCUCAAAGUAGGCCUAUGUUUGUAUACAUCAGUAUAGGAUAACAUCCUAAGAUUUUGGUGCUAUUGUGUUGGCUUUUGGGAUUAGAGUAAUGAUUAACAGAGACAGUUAAGGGCUUUCAUAUUUUAUAAUCAAAGGUGAAAUUUUUGGAUUUAUGAAAGAUGAACAACUGCAAAAGCAUUUGCUAAAGAUGUUUUCCUUAAUUAAGAAAGAAAGUUGAGGGCUUAAAGUUGAUCAAAUACCAUCUUACUCUCAACUAUAAAUGAUGUCAACCAAGGAUCAACGAAUGUUACUUUUAGGACUCUGUCGGCACCUUAUGAAAAAUCAAAGUUUUCGGAUUCUAAGGGGAGUAUGGUUGCAAGGCUGAAACUUAAAAGAAUUGAUGGAAGGGCACCACUAGGAGUGGAGCUUGUAGUUUAAUUUGACUCAACAUAAGGGAACUUAUUAGGUCCCGAUAUAGUAAGAAUUGACAUAUUGAGAGCUCUUUCUUGAUUCUAUAGGUGGUGGUGUAUGGCCAUUAUUAAUUGGUAAAGUGAUUUGUCAGCUUAAUUCUAUUAACGAAUAAGACUUUAGCCUAUUAACUAGUUACAAGGAGAUGAUCCUUCAUGGCUAGCUUCUUAAAGGGACUAUGGCUACUUAGAUUAAGGAAGUUUGAGGGAAUAAUAGGUUUAUGAUGCCUUUAGAUGUUUUGGGCUAAACGUGUGCUAUACUGAUGUGUUCAACGAGUCUAUAGCCUGGUUGACAGGCCGAGGUAAUCUUUGAAAUUUCAUUAUGAUAGGCAUAGAUCAUUGCAAUUGUUGGUCUUCAAUGAGGAAUUCCUAGUAAGUGCGAGUUAUCAGCUUAUGUUGAAACAUCAUUACCUUUUGUACACAUCACUUGUCGCUCUUACCAAUUGAAUGGUCCAGUGAAGUGUUCAGAUUGCAGUGACUAUGGGUGUAAACGAGUCGAGCCGAGCCGAAUAGUGAGAAGCUCGAGCUCGAGCUCGACUCACAACUCGGGGCUCGAUACUCG